GCCUUCAUCGUUUGUCCUCCGGGUUCUGGGAUCCUGCUGGAAGAGGGGAGCUUCUGCAAUGGGAGUUGCCACAACCCUGCAGCCCCCAACCACUUCCAAAACCUUGCAGAAGCAGCAUCUAGAAGCAGUGGGCGCCUACCAAUAUGUGCUCACUUUCCUCUUCAUGGGCCCUUUCUUCUCCCUUCUUGUCUUUGUCCUCCUCUUCACGUCACUCUGGCCCUUCUCUGUUUUUUACUUGGUGUGGCUCUAUGUGGACUGGGACACACCCAACCAAGGUGGAAGGCGUUCGGAGUGGAUAAGGAACCGGGCAAUUUGGAGACAACUAAGGGAUUAUUAUCCUGUCAAGGUGAUGGGUCACCCUGCAGAAAAACUGCUUCCUACCUCUCCCCAUCUCCCUCCCACACCUAGGAGCCCUUCCUUGUGCUGGGGCCUGAGCUCCCCGCUGCCUAAGCUCAGGCAGUGGGACAGGGAAUGGAUUUUUUUUUUUUUUUAGACUGAGUCUCCUGUCACCGAGGCUGGAGUGCAGUGGUGCAAUCUCAGCUCAUUGCAACCUCCGCCUCCUAGGUUCAAGCUAUUCUCAUGCCUCAGCCUCCCUAGUAGCUGGGAUUAUAGGUGCCCGCCACCAUGCCUGGCUAAUUUUUGUAGUUUAGUAGAGACAGGGUUUCAACAUGUUGGCCAGGCUGGUCUCAAACUCCUGGCCUCAAGUGAUCCAGCCACCUCGGCCUCCCAAAGUGCUGGGAUUACAGCCUUGAGCCACCGCGCCCGGCCUGGGAGUGGAUGAUGUUCAAGAGCGGGGCCUUGGUGGGGCACCAUGGCUCAUGCCUGUAAUCCAAGCACUUUGGGAGGCCGAGGUGGGAGGAUUGCUUGAGCCCAGGAGUUGGAGGCUGUAGUGAGCCAUGAUUGCGCCACUGUACUCCAGCCUGAGCAACAGAGUGAGACCGUCUCUAAAAAAAAAAAAAAAAAAAGGCGGUUGUGGUGGCUCAAGCCUUUAAUCCCAGCACUUUGGGAGGCUGAGGUGGGUGGAUCACCUAAGGUCAGGAGUUCGAGACCAGCCUGACCAACAUGGAGAAACCCCAUCUCUACUAAAAAUACCAAACAAAUUAGCCGGACAUGGUGGCACAUGCCUGUAAUCCCAGCUACUCUGGAGGCUGAGGCAGGAGAAUUGCUUGAACCAGGGAGGCGGAGGUUGUGGUGAGCUGAGAUGAUGCCAUUGCACUCCAGCCUAGGCAACAGGAGCAAAACUCUGCCUCAAAAAAAGAAAAGAAAAAAAGAGAGAGUGGGUGAGGUGGCUUACGCCUGUAAUCCCAGCACUGUGGGAGGCCAAGGCAGGCAGAUCACGAGGUCAGGAGUUCGAGACCAGCCUGGCCAAUAUGGUGAA
rnacentral:lncRNA from 10 species